GACGAACGCUGGCGGCGUGCUUAACACAUGCAAGUCGAACGGAAAGGCCCGGCUUUUGUGGGGUGCGCGAGUGGCGAACGGGGGAGUAUCACGUGAGUGACCUGCCCUUUACUUUGGGAUAACUUCAUGAAACUGGGGUGAAUACCGGAUAUGAGCUCCUGCUGCAUGGUGGGGGUGGUAAAGUUUCGGCGGUUGGGGAUGUACUCGCGGCUUAUCAGCUUGUUGGUGGGGUAGUGGCUUACAGAGGCUUUGACGGGUAGCCGGCCUGGGAGGGUGACCGGCCACAUUGGGCCUGAGAUAGCAGCAAGACUCAUACGGGAGGCAGCAGUGGGGAAUAUAGCACAAUGGGCGGCAGCAUGAUGCAGCAACGCCGCGUGCGAGAUGACGGCCUUCGGGUUGUAACCCGCGUUCGCCUGUGACGAAGCGUGAGUGACGGUAAUGGGUAAAGAAGCAACGGCUAACUACGUG
rnacentral:rRNA from 1 species